UUUAAAUCCUUUAACGAGGACCUAUUGGAGGGCAAGUCUGGUGCCAGCAGCCGCGGUAACUCCAGCUCCAAUAGCGUAUAUUAAAGUUGUUGCGGUUAAAAAGCUCGUAGUUGGAUUCCUGUCUUCGGCCGGGCGGUGCCGCCCGAUAUCAAGGGCGUCGCACUGCCUUGGGUCGGCGGUGUCAAAGCCGUCGACUUUUAACGGUCGGACAAUAUCGCCGGAGUGGCGGCCGGUCUGGCGGUCUAGCGGGGGCUCGCUCUCGCUUACCGUCCGGCUACCGCCCGUAAUCGUCCGGGGUGCCCUUAACAAGGUGUCUCGGGCGGCCGGUAACGUUUACUUUGAACAAAUUAAAGUGCUCAAAGCAGGUGCAUACCCUCGCCUGAAUAUCGCAGCAUGGAAUGAUGGAAUAGGACCUCGGUCUUAUUUUGUUGGUUUUCUCUAGACCCGAGGUAAUGGUUAAUAGAGACGGACGGGGGCAUUCGUACUGCGGCGACAGAG
rnacentral:rRNA from 1 species